rnacentral:rRNA from 1 species
AUUGAACGCUGGCGGCAGGCCUAACACAUGCAAGUCGAACGAGUGGCGGACGUGUGAGUAAUGUCUGGGAAACUGCCUGAUGGAGGGGGAUAACUACUGGAAACGGUAGCUAAUACCGCAUACCAUCAGAUGUGCCCAGAUGGGAUUAGCUAGUAGGUGGGGUAACGGCUCACCUAGGCGACGAUCCCUAGCUGGUCUGAGAGGAUGACCAGCCACACUGGAACUGAGACACGGUCCAGACUCCGACGGGAGGCAGCAGUGGGGAAUAUUGCACAAUGGGCGCAAGCCUGAUGCAGCCAUGCCGCGUGUAUGAAGAAGGCCUUCGGGUUGUAAAGUACUUUCAGCGGGGAGGCGUUACCCGAAGAAGAAGCAACGGCUAACUCCGUGCCAGCCGCCGCGGUAAUUA